rnacentral:rRNA from 1 species
UACGUAGGGUGCAAGCGUUGUCCGGAAUUAUUGGGCGUAAAGAGCUCGUAGGCGGUCUGUCGCGUCGGCUGUGAAAACCCGGAGCUCAACUCCGGGCCUGCAGUCGAUACGGGCAGACUGGAGUUCGGCAGGGGAGACUGGAAUUCCUGGUGUAGCGGUGGAAUGCGCAGAUAUCAGGAGGAACACCAAUGGCGAAGGCAGAUCUCUGGGCCGUAACUGACGCUGAGGAGCGAAAGCAUGGGGAGCGAACAGG